rnacentral:lncRNA from 1 species
UACACGAACUAGGACAACCUUUGCAUUGUAAGGGGUAAACCUUACAGCAAGACAACCUACAGUUCGUGAUUGAUCUAAAAAUUUUAAUUUUAGAUUUAAUAAUUAAAUUAUAAAUUAGAUCUAAUCUAAAAAAUAAUCUAAGUAUGUAUAAAUAAUCAUGUAAUAAACAAUCUAGGCUCUGAUACCAAUUGAAGGAACC